rnacentral:rRNA from 1 species
GUGAGGAAUUUUCCGCAAUGGGCGAAAGCCUGACGGAGCAAUGCCGCGUGAAGGAUGAAGGCCUAUGGGUUGUAAACUUCUUUUCUUGGAGAAGAAUAUUGACGGUAUCUGAGGAAUAAGCAUCGGCUAACUCUGUGCCAGCAGCCGCGGUAAGACAGAGGAUGCAAGCGUUAUCCGGAAUGAUUGGGCGUAAAGCGUCUGUAGGUGGCUUCAAAAGUCUCCUGUCAAAGAUCAGGGCUUAACCCUGGGCCGGCAGGAGAAACUCUGAGGCUAGAGGUUGGUAGGGGCAGAGGGAAUUCCCGGUGGAGCGGUGAAAUGCGUAGAGAUCGGGAGGAACACCAAAGGCGAAAGCACUCUGCUGGGCCACAACUGACACUGAGAGACGAAAGCGAGGGGAGCAAAAGGGAUUAGAAACCCGAGUAGUCC